rnacentral:tRNA from 1 species
GGAGAGGUGUCAGAGUGGUCGAAUGAGCAAGCCUGGAAAGUUUGUAUACGGGCAACCGUAUCGCGGGUUCGAAUCCCGCNNAUGCCG